GGGGGCGAAACGGCUUCGACGGGGAUGUGUAAGCUCUACGUUGCAUGUCGAGCAUCUGUCAGCUCGUAAAAAAGACGGAACCUUAAAUAUAAUCGCAGACGAUUAUAAUUACGCAGUAGCUGCUUAACCGCAGUCAUAUUGCCAUCUCACCGGCCUUUGCCCGUAAGGCUGGACUUGAGGUGUCGACUUCGCGGGCUGGCCUAGCAGGGGCUUCCUGUCUCCUUCCAGGUAAGAUUAUACAGGAUAGCACGAAAUCCGCUCUGUUCCCGCAGCAAAUUUCGUGCGAACCCUUAAGCCGGGAACUAAACAUGUAGAUACGGGAGGGGAGCAUUUGCGGACGCGGGUUCGACUCCCGCCGCCUCCACCA
rnacentral:tmRNA from 1 species